rnacentral:rRNA from 1 species
AGUGAAUAUUAGGACAUCGCUUCGGCGAGUUCGACCCUCCACUUUUCAACUCUGUGCAUUUAUUGGCGGAAUCGAGCGAGCAAUCGUGAAGUUCUGCGUCUCAUUUUUAAACACUAGUCAAAGUAUGUAACGAAAUAUCGAAAUAAAAAAAAACUUUCAACAACGGAUCUCUUGGCUCUCGCAUCGAUGAAGAACGCAGCGAAAUGUGAUAAGUAAUGUGAAUUGCAGAAUUCAGUGAAUCAUCGAAUCUUUGAACGCACCUUGCGCUCCCUGGUAUUCCGGGGAGCAUGUCUGUUUGAGUGCCAUGAACUCUUCAACCCACCAGUUUCUUGUAGACUGAUUGGUGUUUGGAUUUUGAGCGCUGCUGGUCUUCGGAUCUAGCUCGUUCGUAAUAUAUUAGCAUCUCUAAUUCGACUUCGGAUUGACUCAGUGUAAUAGACUAUUCGCUGAGGACACACCUAGUGUGGCCGAACGUUGAUCUCAGUAGAAGCUUCCAACUAUUGUAGUCAAUUUUAGAUUAGACCUCAGAUCAGGCAGGAUUACCCGCUGAACUUAA